rnacentral:rRNA from 1 species
CGUAGGUGGCAAGCGUUGUCCGGAUUUAUUGGGUUUAAAGGGUGCGUAGGCGGUUUUCUAAGUCAGCAGUGAAAUACGGCAGCUCAACUGUCGAGGUGCUGUUGAUACUGGGGAACUUGAGUACUGAUGAGGUAGGCGGAAUGGACGGUGUAGCGGUGAAAUGCUUAGAGAUCGUCCAGAACACCGAUAGCGAAGGCAGCUUACUAAGGAGUAACUGACGCUGAGGCACGAAAGUGUGGGGAUCAAACAGGAUUAGAUACCCUGGUAGUCCACACUGUAAACGAUGAUUACUCGAUGUGUGCGAUACACAGCACGCGUCUUAGCAAAAGCGAUAAGUAAUCCACCUGGGGAGUACGCCGGCAACGGCG